CAAGGUUGAAACUCAAAGGAAUUGACGGGGGCCCGCACAAGCGGUGGAACAUGUGGUUUAAUUCGAUGAUACGCGAGGACACUUACCUGGGCUUAAAUGCAGAACGACGUACCGGGAAACUGGUAUUCCCUUCGGGGCGGACUGCAAGGUGCUGCAUGGUUGUCGUCAGCUCGUGCCGUGAGGUGUCGGGUUAAGUCCCAUAACGAGCGCAACCCUCAUCGUUAGUUGCCAGCGAGUAAUGUCGGGGACUCUAACGAAACAGCCGGUGUAAACCGUGAGGAAGGUGGGGAUGACGUCAAAUCAGCACGGCCCUUAUGUCCAGGGCUACACACGUGUUACAAUGGCCAGUACAGAGGGCAGCUACCAGGCGACUGGAUGCUAAUCUCCAAAACUGGUCUUAGUUCGGAUUGAAGUCUGCAACUCGACUUCAUGAAGCUGGAAUCGCUAGUAAUCGCGCAUCAGCCAUGGCGCGGUGAUACGUUCCCGGGCUUUGUACACACCGCCCGUCAAGCCAUGAAGCUUGGGGUACCUGAAGUCCGUAACCGCGA
rnacentral:rRNA from 1 species